rnacentral:rRNA from 1 species
UACGAGGGGGGCAAGCGUUGUUCGGAAUUAUUGGGCGUAAAGAGCGUGUAGGCGGCUUGGCAAGUCCGUUGUGAAAACUCGAGGCUCAACCUCGAGACGUCGAUGGAAACUGCCUCGCUAGAGUCCGGAAGAGGGUCGUGGAAUUCCCAGUGUAGAGGUGAAAUCGUAGAUAUUGGGAAGAACACCGGUGGCGAAGGCGGCGACCUGGUCCGAUGACUGACGCUGGAGGCGCCGAAAGCGUGGGGAGCAAACAGG